rnacentral:lncRNA from 1 species
GGGCAAUCUUUGGAAAAUAGAAUCACUCUCAAAGAGGUUGUAAGAGAAGCCCAGCUUCCCUGUCUGGUGAGGUCAUUCCCGGUAAAGCAUGCAAGGGGAUUCCUAGCAAUCCCAAGGGUGAGACUGCAGGUAAGGACCACCGCCUGCCUGGGGCUGGUCUGCCCAGAGCAUCGCUAUAGAGUGUGGAGCUGGGCGGUCCGUGGGAUUGAGCAAGAUGGGUUUCUUCAACAGAACUCCAUGGCAAAGGAAGGCCCUGGAUCACAUGUCUUUCUACAGAAGGGACCCACUUGGGGCAGAAGGGCCUGGCUGAGAAUGAAAUGUGAGCCUUCUUCCAGCUCCUGUGUCAGAACAGCAGAGAAAGGAGCCCAGGAAUAUGAGAGGAGAGCCGAGGCCUUCUCCUGACAACGCC